rnacentral:lncRNA from 1 species
UGUCUGUGUACUCUCAUAGAGUGAUAUUUAGGUGAAAGAAGUUCUCCAAUUCAUUAAAGGUGAUGUCCUUCCUCUACAAUAUGGGCAAGCAUCUUUCAUCCUUGAGGACGAAUUUCUAAUUGCUUGAAAAACUUUGACCGUAGCUGUCUAUCCACUUUACUAUUUUGAGACGAACACAUCUUUUCAUGUGUCCUUUGUCUAAGAAGCAAAUGUUUUCUUCCUCC